UCCCAGGUAGCUGGGACUACAAGCAUGUGCUACCACACCUGGCUAAUUUUUGUAUUUUUUUGUAGAGACGGGAUCUUGCUAUGUUGCCCAGGCUGGUCUUGAAUUCCUAGGCUCAAUUGAUUCUCCUGCUUUGGCCUCUCAAAGUGCUAGUAUUACAGCCAUAAGCCACCAUGCCUGGCCAAGUAAAUGUUGUAUAGAAAAAUAUUUUGAGGUGUGAUAAUGGUAUUGUAGUUACAUUUUAA
rnacentral:lncRNA from 1 species